UAGGGAAUCUUCCGCAAUGGACACAAGUCUGACGGAGCAACGCCGCGUGAGUGAAGAAGGAUUUCGGUUCGUAAAACUCUGUUGUUAGAGAAGAACAGCGCAUAGAGUAACUGUUAUGCGUGUGACGGUAUCUAACCAGAAAGCCACGGCUAACUACGUGCCAGCAGCCGCGGUAAUACGUAGGUGGCAAGCGUUGUCCGGAUUUAUUGGGCGUAAAGCGAGCGCAGGCGGUCAAUUAAGUCUGGUGUGAAAGCCCCCGGCUCAACCGGGGAGGGUCAUUGGAAACUGGUUGACUGGAGUGCAGAAGAGGAGAGUGGAAUUCCAUGUGUAGCGGUGAAAUGCGUAGAUAUAUGGAGGAACACCAGUGGCGAAGGCGACUCUCUGGUCUGUAACUGACGCUGAGGCUCGAAAGCGUGGGUAGCAAACAGG
rnacentral:rRNA from 1 species